CUUGAGGAGUGGCUUCCGGAGCUAACGCGUUAAGUCGACCGCCUGGGGAGUACGGCCGCAAGGUUAAAACUCAAAUGAAUUGACGGGGGCCCGCACAAGCGGUGGAGCAUGUGGUUUAAUUCGAUGCAACGCGAAGAACCUUACCUACUCUUGACAUCCANAGAACUUAGCANAGAUGCUUUGGUGCCUUCGGGAACUCUGAGACAGGUGCUGCAUGGCUGUCGUCAGCUCGUGUUGUGAAAUGUUGGGUUAAGUCCCGCAACGAGCGCAACCCUUAUCCUUUGUUGCCAGCGAUUCGGUCGGGAACUCAAAGGAGACUGCCAGUGAUAAACUGGAGGAAGGUGGGGAUGACGUCAAGUCAUCAUGGCCCUUACGAGUAGGGCUACACACGUGCUACAAUGGCAUAUACAAAGAGAAGCGACCUCGCGAGAGCAAGCGGACCUCAUAAAGUAUGUCGUAGUCCGGAUUGGAGUCUGCAACUCGACUCCAUGAAGUCGGAAUCGCUAGUAAUCGUGGAUCAGAAUGCCACGGUGAAUACGUUCCCGGGCCUUGUACACACCGCCCGUCACACCAUGGGAGUGGGUUGCAAAAGAAGUAGGUAGCUUAACCUUCGGGAGGGCGCUUACCACUUUGUGAUUCAUGACUGGGGUGAAGUCGUAACAAGGUAACC
rnacentral:rRNA from 1 species